GGUGAGAUGGCCGAGUGGUUGAAGGCGCACCCCUGCUAAGGGUGUAUGUGGUAUGAACUAUUACAUCGAGGGUUCGAAUCUCUCUCUCACCG
rnacentral:tRNA from 1 species